rnacentral:rRNA from 1 species
AUUGAACGCUGGCGGCAGGCCUAACACAUGCAAGUCGAGCGGAUGACGGGAGCUUGCUCCUUGAUUCAGCGGCGGACGGGUGAGUAAUGCCUAGGGAUCUGCCUGGUAGUGGGGGACAACGUUUCGAAAGGAACGCUAAUACCGCAUACGUCCUACGGGAGAAAGCAGGGGACCUUCGGGCCUUGCGCUAUCAGAUGAGCCUAGGUCGGAUUAGCUAGUUGGUGGGGUAAUGGCUCACCAAGGCGACGAUCCGUAACUGGUCUGAGAGGAUGAUCAGUCACACUGGAACUGAGACACGGUCCAGACUCCUACGGGAGGCAGCAGUGGGGAAUAUUGGACAAUGGGCGAAAGCCUGAUCCAGCCAUGCCGUGUGUGUGAAGAAGGUCUUCGGAUUGUAAAGCACUUUAAGUUGGGAGGAAGGGCAGUAAGCUAAUAUCUUGCUGUUUUGACGUUACCGACAGAAUAAGCACCGGCUAACUCUGUGCCAGCCGCCGCAGUAA